GGGGAGAUACCCAAGUGGCCAACGGGGACAGACUGUAAAUCUGUUGCGGCAACGCUUCACAGGUUCGAAUCCUGUUCUCCCCACCA
rnacentral:tRNA from 1 species